UUGUGCAUUGUUAAAAAGAUU
ensembl:piRNA 21ur-342 ncRNA